rnacentral:rRNA from 1 species
CCGGCGCACGGGUGAGUAACACGUAUCCAACCUGCCGUCUACUCUUGGACAGCCUUCUGAAAGGAAGAUUAAUACAAGAUGGCAUCAUGAGUCCACAUGUUCACAUGAUUAAAGGUAUUCCGGUAGACGAUGGGGAUGCGUUCCAUUAGAUAGUAGGCGGGGUAACGGCCCACCUAGUCUUCGAUGGGUAGGGGUUCUGAGAGGAAGGUCCCCCACAUUGGAACUGAGACACGGUCCAA